rnacentral:rRNA from 1 species
AUUGAACGCUGGCGGCAGGCUUAACACAUGCAAGUCGAGCGGGGGAAGGUAGCUUGCUACCGGACCUAGCGGCGGACGGGUGAGUAAUGCUUAGGAAUCUGCCUAUUAGUGGGGGACAACAUCUCGAAAGGGAUGCUAAUACCGCAUACGUCCUACGGGAGAAAGCAGGGGAUCUUCGUAACUUGCGCUAAUAGAUGAGCCUAAGUCGGAUGAGCUAGUUGGUGGAGUAAAGGCCUACCAAGGCGACGACCUGUAGCGGGUCUGAGAGGAUGAUCCGCCACACUGGGACUGAGACACGGACCAGACUCCUACGGGAGGCAGCAGUGGGGAAUAUUGGACAAUGGGGGGAACCCUGAUCCAGCCAUGCCGCGUGUGUGAAGAAGGCCUUAUGGUUGUAAAGCACUUUAAGCGAGGAGGAGGCUACUUUAGUUAAUACCUAGAGAUAGUGGACGUUACUCGCAGAAUAAGCACCGGCUAACUCUGUGCCAGCCGCCGCCGUAA